ensembl:lncRNA
GCAGUAAAUUGCUAUACUGAAGUCCUGGGAGUUCAGACUUGGUUGUGUGGUUUGUCUUUAAAACUCUGGUUCUGUAUUAUGCUUCAGGUAGUGAUUUUUUACCGGGAUUCUGUACCUGGCAACAGUACCUCAGCCCAUCUCUGCGUGAAUCCAGUCCAGCUCUGAAUAUCUCGAACACUAAGCACACAAAAAGAUUACUUAGAUGUUUAGGAUUUCUCUUCACAAAGCAGAUGAUACAGAUGCUCAGGAAGAUUCAGUGAAAUGGUAGUGUAAUGAUAAAGAUUUGAUUGUGCUAGUCCACCAGUUUGUGAACUUUAAGGUAUUCAAUUAUUCUGAUUUUCUCAGGGUAGAAUCUGUAUGCAUGUAACCCAUGGUUAGCACUAAUAACAAUAUGAAACCCUUCCCACAUCAAAGCUGUGACUACAUGCUUUUGUCUGUCCCAAUGGUUUGAGAGAAAAAUCUUGAUAAAUCAACAUGAGUUUUUUUCUUUUUCCUUUUUUUUCUUUUCCUCUUUCUUAAGUUUUGUUGUCUUGAUUAGAUAAAAAAUAAUAGGGGGCUGUCAGUCUGUUUUCUUUUCAGGUCUUCUCUGCCUCUUUCUAAAUUAGUUACAGCCUGCUUUUUGUAGCUUUAUAGCUAGCCUGACCUAAUUUAAUUACCAUGACUUGUGUGGCUUAAAGAUAAAUAGUUUUAUUCAGUCUGCCUACUUUUGUAUAAGUUUUCCCUUUCACACAUCUCUCUAUAUUUUGGCAUUCAGAAUUCUUGUCCUCUGUUCUCGGGUAGGUUAACACAAGGUUAGUUUAUAGCAUUGUCCAUA